AUCAUUUAUAAGAUAACAUUAGUUCAACAUCUGUAAAUAGGCAUUGGUCAGUAAAUGUCUCAUGAUAUUAAUGAUACUACUAGCAGUACUGAUAUUUACAGGUAUGUAUGAUUUCACUCCUCUCCCCCUUACUACUCUGGAUCUAUUUGUUAGUUCUUGAACUUAUAUUUUAAUACUGUGAAGUUGGGAUGGACACGUGCUGGGAUGUGUGUGGGAGGGCAAAAGGGAGCAUGGAGAAAGACAGGAUUUAGAAAAGUGAUGGUAUCCACGGAUAAAAUUAUCAAAGAAUAAACAAAAAUAUGUUUUAAAGACAAUUUAAUAUUUUUUAUUACCUAUUUUCUCUAUUUACAUUUAAAAUGCUAUCCUCUUUCCUGGUUUCCCCUCUGAAAACCUCCUAUCCCCUUCUCCUUCCCCCUGCUCAUCAACCCACCCACUCCUGCUUCCUGGCCCUGGCAUUCCCCUACACUGAGGCAUCGAGCCUUCACAGGACCGAGAGCCUCUUUUCCCAUUGAUGACCAACAAGGGCAUCCUCUGCUACAUAUGCAGCUGGAACAACAGGUCCUUCCAUGUGUACUCUUUGGUUGAUGGUUUAGUUCCUGGGAGCUCUGGGGAGGGGGUACUGGUUAGUCCAUAUUGUUGUUCCUAUGGGGCUGCAAAGUCCUUCAGCUCCUUGGGUCCUUUCUCUAACUCCUCCAUUGGGGACCCCAUGCUCAGUCCAAUGAUUGGCUGAGAGCAUCCACCUCUGUAUUUGUCAGGCAAUGGUAGAGUCUCUUGAGACAGCUAUAUCAGGUUCCUGUCAACAUGCACUUCUUGGCAUUCACAUAGUGCCUGGGUUUGGUGACUGGGAUGGAUCCCGGGGUGGGGCAGUCUCUGGAUGGCCUUUCCUUCAGUCUCUGCUCCACACUUUGUUUCUGUAUCUCCUCCCAUUGGUAUUUUGUUCCCUCUUCUAAGAAGGACCGAAGUAUCCACACUUGGUCUUUCUUCUUUUUGAGCUUCAUGUGGUCUGUGAAUUGUAUCUUGGGUAUUCUGGACUUCUGAGCUAAUAUCCACUUACCAGUGAGUGCAUACCAUGUGUGUUCUUUUGUGACUGGGUUACCUCUCAAAAAGCAUAGGAGCUUUGGGAAGGUCAUGAAACACUCACCCCUCUGGAAGGGAGAGGCUAAUUAGCAUCUCUCAAACCACAGUUUAGGAACAGACCUGCAUGUGCGGAUACAUUCAGCAGGACUGACCAUUGCUCACCUUCAGACAACGGAAGUCCUUGUCACCUCAUUUCCUAAAGACCAAUCAGUUUAAAGGGUGCACUGUUCCACCAAUCAUAUUCUGCCUAGUUGCUGAUGCUCUGUUCUGCCCCUGGAAACCAUAUAAAAGCUCGCUGAAUUGGUGCUGGGGUCACUGCCUCUCCUUCAGGUCUGGGACACCCCCAGUGCACUGGAACAAUAAAUUCCUCUUGCUUUUUGCAUCAAUACUAGCUCCACAUGGUUCACUCAGGGGGUCCCUGAUAAGCUAAGGCUCCCCAGAGUCUUACACUCACUCAGGAUGAUAUUUUCUAGUUUCAUCCAUUUGCCUAAGAAUUUAAUAAUUUCAUUGUUUUUAAUAGCUGAGUAGUACUCCAUGGUGUAAAUGUACUAUAUUUUCUGUAUCCAUUCCUCUAUUGAGGGACAUCUGGGUUCUUUCCAGCUUCUGGCUAUUAUAAAUAAGCCUGAUAUAUAUAUAUAGUGGAGCAUGUGUCCUUAUUACCAGUUGGAGCAUCUUCUGGGUAUAUGUCCAGGAAUGGUAUUGCUGGGUCCUCAGGUAGUAAGUACUAUAUCGAAUUUUCUGAGGAACCGCCAAACUGAUUUCUAGAGAAGUUGUACCAGCUUGCAAUCCCACCAACAAUGGAGGAGUGUUCCUCUUUCUCCACAUCCUGACCAGCAUCUGCUGUCACCUAAGUUUUUCAUCUUAGCCAUUCUGAUUGGUGUGAGGUGGAAUCUCAGGGUUGUUUUGAUUUGCAUUACCUUGAUGACUAAGGAUGUUGAACAUUUCUUUAAGUGGUUCUCGGCCAUUCGAUAUUCUUCAGUUGAGAAUUCUUUGUUUAGCUCUUUUGUGCUAGAGGAAUCUCAGUAAGGAUUCAAUAUUGAUGGUGUAGCAGAAGCCAGAGGUCUUGAACCAGAUCAGUGACUCAUUGCAAUGAACAUUUGCAAGAUGUGUGGACAGAGGGGUGUAUUGUGGGACAUUGUGACACACUUCAGCUUUGAUGACAAAAUAGCUUUGUUUUUUGUUGUUUCUUUUUUCAUUUUCUAUAAAAAUCUAUAAUCACAACGUGUCACUUAAAUAUAUUAUCGACUGAAACAGUUUCAUGCUGACCUUAGAAAACAAGAUUCUGCUUGGCCAUUCUAUCAGCUUCACUUAAAAGAAAUGCAGUUUAAAAAGUAGGGACAGGAACAUGAUAUCAAGCAGACAUUACAAAUAAAUAAGAUGACAUAGUGCAAGUAAUACUUUGUGAGAGACAAGCUAAGCAAAUCUGUUUUAUAAUGAAAGGUGCUGAAUUACAUGAACCAUAGGCCACCCUCUUGGUCAGUAGCAAAAGUUACUAUGACCUUACUAUGAUUCCAAGUAUUAAAGGUGGAAAGAGAGUUAAUGAAGAGCCUUUAGUGCAUCCAUGCAAUGAGUGCAGGAUUCACAUAAGCUACAGUGAGUUUGGUUGGAGUUGAUGGAACAUUCACCAAUUGUACAAUUGUAGACAGCACCUCUUUGCCUUCCCAUCCCAGGUUCCUUGUGGCAGUUGAUUUGCUACCUACAGACCAGUUAGAACAGCAACUCCCAACUGCUACCUGUUUUAUAAGUCUCACGUACAAUGGCUGUUAUGGGCACUAUUUGUUUGACUGAUAUCUGCCGGCACAAUACUGCCU
rnacentral:lncRNA from 1 species